rnacentral:rRNA from 1 species
AUUGAACGCUGGCGGCAGGCCUAACACAUGCAAGUCGAACGGUAACAGGAAGCAGCUCGCUGCUUCGCUGACGAGUGGCGGACGGGUGAGUAAUGUCUGGGAAACUGCCUGAUGGAGGGGGAUAACUACUGGAAACGGUAGCUAAUACCGCAUAACGUCGCAAGACCAAAGAGGGGGACCUUAGGGCCUCUUGCCAUCGGAUGUGCCCAGAUGGGAUUAGCUAGUAGGUGGGGUAACGGCUCACCUAGGCGACGAUCCCUAGCUGGUCUGAGAGGAUGACCAGCCACACUGGAACUGAGACACGGUCCAGACUCCUACGGGAGGCAGCAGUGGGGAAUAUUGCACAAUGGGCGCAAGCCUGAUGCAGCCAUGCCGCGUGUAUGAAGAAGGCCUUCGGGUUGUAAAGUACUUUCAGCGGGGAGGAAGGGAGUAAAGUUAAUACCUUUGCUCAUUGACGUUACCCGCAGAAGAAGCACCGGCUAACUCCGUG